AACGAACGCUGGCGGCAUGCUUAACACAUGCAAGUUGAACGCAGAAUUGGCAACAAGGACGCGUAGCAAACGGGUGAGUAAUACAUGAGAAUCUGCCCUCUGGCGGGGAAUAACCCUGGGAAACUAGGGACAAUACCGCAUAAGCUUGGGAACAAGGAAAGGCGCAAGCCACCGGAGGAUGAGCUCAUGUCAGAUUAGGUUGUUGGUGGGGUAAAGGCCUACCAAGCCUGUGAUCUGUAGCUGGUCUGAGAGGACGAUCAGCCACACUGGGACUGAGACACGGCCCAGACUCCUACGGGAGGCAGCAGUGGGGAAUAUUGGACAAUGGGGGAAACCCUGAUCCAGCAAUGCCGCGUGAAUGAAGAAGGCCUUCGGGUUGUAAAGUUCUUUUACCCGUGAAGAUAAUGACGGUAACGGGAGAAUAAGCCCCGGCUAACUCUG
rnacentral:rRNA from 1 species